GUAGUGAUUUACUCACGAAGCUCUGACAGGUCGCAGAGAAUCGGUGGCUGCGACUGUUUAACAAAAACACAGCACUGUGCCAACACGAAAGUGGACGUAUACGGUGUGACGCCUGCCCGGUGCCGGAAGGUUAAGUGAUGGGGUGCAAGCUCUUGAUCGAAGCCCCGGUAAACGGCGGCCGUAACUAUAACGGUCCUAAGGUAGCGAAAUUCCUUGUCGGGUAAGUUCCGACCCGCACGAAUGGCGUAACGAUGGCCACACUGUCUCCUCCUGAGACUCAGCGAAGUUGAAGUGUUUGUGAAGAUGCAAUCUCCCCGCUGCUAGACGGAAAGACCCCGUGAACCUUUACUGUAGCUUUGCAUUGGACUUUGAACAGACUUGUGUAGGAUAGGUGGGAGGCUUUGAAGCUGGAACGCUAGUUUCAGUGGAGCCGUCCUUGAAAUACCACCCUGGUGUGUUUGAGGUUCUAACCUUGGUCCGUGAUCCGGAUCGGGGACAGUGCAUGGUAGGCAGUUUGACUGGGGCGGUCUCCUCCCAAAGUGUAACGGAGGAGUUCGAAGGUCACCUAGGUACGGUCGGAAAUCGUGCUGAUAGUGCAAUGGCAAAAGGUGGCUUAACUGCGAGACCGACAAGUCGAGCAGGUGCGAAAGCAGGACAUAGUGAUCCGGUGGUUCUGAAUGGAAGGGCCAUCGCUCAACGGAUAAAAGGUACUCCGGGGAUAACAGGCUGAUACCGCCCAAGAGUUCACAUCGACGGCGGUGUUUGGCACCUCGAUGUCGGCUCAUCACAUCCUGGGGCUGUAGCCGGUCCCAAGGGUAUGGCUGUUCGCCAUUUAAAGUGGUACGUGAGCUGGGUUCAAAACGUCGUGAGACAGUUUGGUCCCUAUCUGCAGUGGGCGUUGGAAGUUUGACGGGGGCUGCUCCUAGUACGAGAGGACCGGAGUGGACGCACCUCUGGUGUACCGGUUGUGACGCCAGUCGCAUCGCCGGGUAGCUAAGUGCGGAAGAGAUAACCGCUGAAAGCAUCUAAGCGGGAAACUCGCCUGAAGAUUAGACUUCCCUGAGGGCUUGACCCUCCUGAAGAGUCGUUCGAGACCAGGACGUUGAUAGGUCGGGUGUGGAAGCGCUGUGAGGCGUGAAGCUAACCGAUACUAAUUGCUCGUGAGGCUUGAUCCUAU
rnacentral:rRNA from 1 species